UACGUAGGUGGCAAGCGUUGUCCGGAAUUAUUGGGCGUAAAGGGCGUGUAGGUGGAUCUUUAAGUCGUGUGUCUAAGUGCGGGGCUCAACUCCGUAUAGGCGCAGGAAACUGGGGAUCUUGAGUGCAGGAGAGGAAAGUGGAAUUCCCAGUGUAGCGGUGAAAUGCGUAGAUAUUGGGAGGAACACCAGUGGCGAAGGCGACUUUCUGGACUGUGUCUGACACUGAGGCGCGAAAGCUAGGGGAG
rnacentral:rRNA from 1 species